CCUACGGGAGGCAGCAGUGGGGAAUAUUGGGCAAUGGAGGAAACUCUGACCCAGCGACGCCGCGUGCGGGAUGAAGGCCUUCGGGUUGUAAACCGCUUUCAGUAGGGAAGAAGCGAAAGUGACGGUACCUACAGAAGAAGCACCGGCUAACUAUGUGCCAGCAGCCGCGGUAAUACAUAGGGUGCAAGCGUUGUCCGGAAUUAUUGGGCGUAAAGAGCUCGUAGGUGGUUCGUCACGUCGGAUGUGAAAAUCUGGGGCUCAACCCCAGACCUGCAUUCGAUACGGGCGAUCUAGAGUGUGGUAGGGGAGACUGGAAUUCCUGGUGUAGCGGUGGAAUGCGCAGAUAUCAGGAGGAACACCAAUGGCGAAGGCAGGUCUCUGGGCCAUUACUGACACUGAGGAGCGAAAGCGUGGGGAGCGAACAGGAUUAGAUACCCUGGUAGUCCACGCCGUAAACGGUGGGCACUAGUUGUGGGAACCUUCCACGGUUUCUGCGACGCAGCUACGCAUAAGUAGCCCGCCGUCGGGAGGUACGANCGCAAGAAUAAACUAACAAGGAAGUUAGACGGCGUGAGACGUGCCGACGGACGACGACGAGGGAGGUAGG
rnacentral:rRNA from 1 species